rnacentral:lncRNA from 1 species
GUGAAGAGCAGCUAGCAGACCUGCUCACUAAGCCCUUGAAGUUGGAGUCCUUUUGCAAGUUAAGGGAGGGCUUAGGCAUGUGUGAUGUUAAUAGCUUAGUGUAUUGAACAUUUGUUUUUGUUUUGCUGUGGUUGUUUAGUGUUUGUAUAUGUUCAAUUAAGGGAGGGUAUGUUAGGAAUGGUUAGCUUGUGCCUUAAGAAAUAGCUGCAGCCUGAGCCAAGCCAUGUCUGCUGGCCUGCAGAUGGGCGCGCGCGUGCCAAGCCUGGCCUGCCUUGC